rnacentral:rRNA from 1 species
CCUACGGGAGGCUGCAGUGAGGAAUAUUGGUCAAUGGCCGAGAGGCUGAACCAGCCAAGUCGCGUGAGGGAAGACGGCCCUACGGGUUGUAAACCUCUUUUGUCGGGGAGCAAAGCGAGUCACGUGUGACUCAUUGCGAGUACCCGAAGACAAAGCAUCGUCUAACUCCGUGCCAGCAGCCGCGGUAAUACGGAGGAUGCGAGCGUUAUCCGGAUUUAUUGGGUUAAAAGGGUACGCAGGCGGCGGUGCAAGUCAGCGGUCAAAUGGCGGGGCUCAACCCCGUACUGCCGUUGAAACUGCAUCCCUUGAGUGUGCGAGAAGUAUGCGGAAUGCGUGGUGUAGCGGUGAAAUGCAUAGAUAUCACGCAGAACUCCGAUUGCGAAGGCAGCAUACCGGCGCGCAACUGACGCUCAUGCACGAAAGCGUGGGUAUCGAACAGGAUUAGAUACCCGUGUAGUC